GUGAGUGUAUCUCGUCAAACUCAACUUCUAUUCUAUACAUAGGUUUUUCAUCAAGUUCAAUGGACAAUCACAAUUAUUGUACAUUUGAUGGUGGAAAUUUUGAGUUGGAUCUGCAAAUAGAUUGAUGGAGACUGCUUUGAGGAGACUCAUUCAACAUAAGAUGAUCUUCCAAAUGGGUUGAUGAAGCUUCUUCAAAGGGGGACUCCAUGUGAGAAGAUAAAGUAAAGGAAGAAAAUAGAGAUGAAGAGAUGAAGAUGUUUGUGUUGUGCGAUCUUGGUAGAUGCCCCUCUAAGAGGUUAGACCAACCAUGAAGGAGAAUGUAUGAAGAGGUCUAAAAGAAAACAUUUCAUAAGGUGAGAACUCAAGAAUAAAAGUCUUGCAAUUUUAGCAAAGUGACUUUAGAUUUAAUCAAACUCUAAAAAAUGAUACAAUGUUGCCUCUCCUUUUAUUAGUGAAGGAGUAGGCUAGGAUUCAAUGCACCUAAGACGAACUAGAAGCUUCCUAUGGAAAAUGGGGAGGAAUGAGAGCCUUCUCCUUAAUUACCGUCCAAGUUCAAUGUAAGGAAGUCUGCCUUGAUGUUGACAUCUUCUAGAAUGAGCCCUAUUCACUAGUGUAGUUAAAGGAAUA
rnacentral:lncRNA from 1 species